rnacentral:lncRNA from 1 species
AGAUGGACAGAUGCAGGGGGCUUGCUGGCCAGACAGCAUAGUUGAAACAGCAAGUUUCAGACUCAAAUAAUAGUGAUAAUAUUAAUAGUAGUAAUAAUAAUAAUAAUAAGGCUGAGAGGGAUUGUAAGAGACAUUCUAAUGUCAACUACUGGCUUCUACACAUGCUGGCGUAGGUGAGCACACUCUCACACACACACUGCAUAUAUACAGACAACACACACAGAGAUGAACUUUUCAACCAUUCGAGCUGUUUCAUGCAGUGCUUGCCCCCGAUUGCUGUGUGUGAUGGCACUGUGGCCUUGGGUCUCAGCACAUGAACUACACAGUCUGCCUGUGUGUGCCACCAUGCCGCACAGCACCAACACACACCACCUGGAACACGUUGGCCCGGAUCUGAGGCUCCUGGGGGGUACUAACGCUACUAACUGAAGUGUGUGCACUGUCCAUGCCAUUUCCCACCUUCAUGGAAAUAGAAUGGUGGUAUUAUGGAGAACAAAGAGUAGCUCCCACUGUCACUUCUCAGUGUGUAUGAGAUUAGUCUAUCUUUGGAUUGUAUUAUGCUAGAAUGUUUGAUUUUUAAAAUUGCUAUUUAAGGUGCUUAGUUGGGCUUCAUUUAAAAAGAAAAUUGUUAAGUGGGGCCUAAAGAGAUGGUUCAGUGGUUAAAAUGUUUCUUGUGUGACUAUGAGGACCUCAGCACCCGUAUGAAAAACAAAACAAGACUAGGUGUCUCAGUUACUUUUCUGUUGCUAUGAAGAGACACCAUGACCACAGUUGCUUAGAGAAGACAGCAUCUAACUGGGGGCUUGGUUACCAUUUCAGAGUUAGUCCAUGAUCUUCACAGUGAGAAGUGUGGCAGUAGGCAGGCAUGGCCCUGGAGCAGUAGCUGAGAGCUUACAUUCUGAUCUGCAGGCAGAGGUUGUGGGGGUGGGGAGGCUGGCAUGGCUUUUGAAACCUUAAAGCCAACCCCAGUGACACACCUCCUGCAGCAAGGUCACACCCUCCAAUCCUUUCUAAACAACCAACUGGGAAGCAGACAUUCAGAUAUAUGAACGUAUGGGGGCCACUCUCAUUCAAACCACCACACUUGGAAUGGCAGCAUGCACCUGUAAUCUAGUGCUGGGGUGGAGACAAGAGAGUCCUGGGGCUCAGAAGGCCAGCCAGUCUAACUGAUUCAUGAAAUCCAGGUUCAGUGAGAGACCUUAUCUCAGAAAAUAAGGAAGUGACACAAGGAAAAUACCCAGCUUAGAUAGCCAACCUGAGUAUACACACACACAUACACACCACAUGCAUAUAACACAGACAUAUACAAAUUGUUCAAUGGAUUUUGGCCUGGAAUUAAGACAGAAUUUUCAAUCAUUUCUGAAAUGGUCCUAAACAUACUUUUGAAAUUUCACAGUAUAUACUAUGCAUCAAUGAUUAUCAAAUUGGAAUAUUGGCCAAUUCUGAGAUAUGUUGGCUAUACUAUGUCCUCCAGUAUCAAAUGGCCAGCCAAAAAAUUUUAUUCUUUAUGUCAAAAUAAACAAGCACAUGUAUCCGACCAGCAUGCAAAAUUGUCUUUGUCCUUAAUGGACAGUAAAUUAUCUGUAUGCCAAAUAAUUGUUUUAAAAUAAAAUUCUUAUGAUUUCUUAUGAGUACAUUCUUUCUAUAUGUCAAGGGUUGUGGGAGUUUUCUCAGGUUGAAGAGGGUCACAAGUAGACAAACUUUAAGACACCUUGGUUUAGGAAACAGUAGCAUGCCCAUCACAGAGGCAACCUUGCUCUAUUCUCUACCCUCAAGCAGGUUGAAUCCAGGAUAUAACAUGGAAGGAAACUGUACCUGUCAGCCUCUGAGGCUGAGGGAUGAGUGAGACGCAAGUUUGCUUCUCUAGACAGAUGCAGCUGCAUGCUGGACAAGAGGACAACAGCCACACCCAGCCCUCAGUGACAUCUGACAGCCCUUGGACAAGUGACUUCCAGCCAGACUGCUGCUUCAGCCUGCUCACGGGUGGACACGUUGUGCCGUAUCCUGCGCUAUGAGCCCUCUACGCAGAGAGCACCUGUGUCUAUCUUUGCUCUUCCUUCUCUUGGCUUUGGGAGGCUCCUCCGUGCACUGGGCGUGAAUGUCUGCCACUAGAUACCCGCACUCACCAUUCCUGGGUCGGUCCUCUGAUGUCAUCUCUCCGUUUGUCUCAGGUUUCAUCUCUGAGUCUCUCUCUGAUGUCUUGUCACACGGAAGCCAUUUACCCUGACCCCAAGGUUAAGUUCUCUUCUGCUCCAUCAUAGCGGCCACACACGUUCAUGAGUGAUUAUCCGGAACCCUAUCACAGAUGCAGAGAGGCCCAACCAGCCUUUGGAGAUGUUCAAGGGAGAGUGGAGCCAGACAAGACCAUGAAAUACGGGGGACUCAAAAGUAA